UAUGUUGCCAGCGCGUUAUGGCGGGGACUCAUAGGAGUCUCCGGGGUCAACUCGGAGGAAGGUGGGGACGACGUCAAAUCAUCAUGCCCCUUAUGUCUUGGGCUUCACGCAUGCUACAAUGGCCGGUACAAAGGGUUGCGAUACUGUAAGGUGGAGCUAAUCCCAAAAAGCCGGUCUCAGUUCGGAUUGAGGUCUGCAACUCGACCUCAUGAAGUCGGAGUCGCUAGUAAUCGCAGAUCAGCAACGCUGCGGUGAAUACGUUCCCGGGCCUUGUACACACCGCCCGUCAAGUCACGAAAGUUGGUAACACCCGAAGCCGGUGGCCUAACCCCUUGUGGGAGGGAGCCGUCGAAGGUGGGACCGGCGAUUGGGACUAAG
rnacentral:rRNA from 1 species